AUGCCAUCAUGUAAUGCAACACAUCACAACAAAUCACAUCUCGGAUGGUACUGUCACCAAUAGUCCUCUACAUAAUCCAACUGUGCCGGGACGUAGAAUGGGUACAACCGGUCUUUCUCUUAACAUAACAUAUCAUACAGUCCAACUGUGCCAGGGACGUAGAAUGGGUACAACCUAGACUUUCUCUUACAUCGUGCCAGGGACGUAGAAUGGGUACAACCUGGACUUCCAUACCAUAUCAUGCUGUAACAUCAUCAUAACAUAUGAGGACUAAAGGAUCAUCCAAUAACCAAUCCACAACAACAUCAUAAAUGCAAUGCAACAUAUUCGUGAAUUCUAAUGCAAACAACCUAAUUCAUCACAUGGCAUUCAUGAUGCAUGAACAUGCUAAAAGCUUUAUAAUUUAUUUGCUUUAAAACGUAAAGGUUU
rnacentral:lncRNA from 1 species